ACCGACGUAGUCUAAAGGUUAAAACGGAGGGCCUUCAUCCCUAGGUUCGGGGUUCGAUUCCCCGGGUCGGUA